GGCCAUAGGAGAACACAAGGAGAAGGUGGCCGUCCACACGCCAAGGAGUGUCCUUGGGAGAAACCAACCCUGCUGACACCUUGAUCUUGGACUUCCAGGCCUCUGGAACGAGAAUGCCCAUUUACUGUAAACAAUUUGGAGAAUACAGAGAAGUUCAAAGAAGAAAACAAAUCACAUGCAUUCUGAGCACCCAGAGAUGGGCACUCUUCAAGUGUUUGCGUAUUUCCUUCAAGUCUUUUCUCUAUGUGCAUGUGUUUGUGGCAGUCACAUUGUUAAGGCCUGAGGUAAGUGUGUUAAGGUAAGGGCUCCUAUCAAUUCAGUUAAACAAGAUAAGCAAUAGGAACCUCUAGUAGCAAGAGUCAGUGCCUCUCCAAUAAAGAUGUUUAAAAAAAUUUUUUUUAAAGUGUCUAAAAAUAAAAGAGUCAGUGCCUUUGUGAUUGUAAUAAAAUGGGAACAAAUAUCCUUCCUGUAGAAUAUGGAGAAACAAUCGUUUCACUUUGCAGUUGUGCAGCUGGCAGUCCUCACAGCAGAGGAGACACAGACUGCGCCAACCUUGGCAACUGGUGACUUCAGGAGCCCCAAACUCACAGUGAGCACUGCGCUGGUAAAAAGCCCUGUUGCCCUGUCACUGGGCAUCCACCUUCCAGGCCUCCCCAAGCUGAGCAGGAAACAGAGCCCCCCCACUCCGCCUCGGUGGGCUGUGUAGACUCCAAAGGAGGGGUACUGGCCUGUUUUGAAAGGCGGAUGCGAUGCUGAGGAUCCAGAACUCACUGAGGAUGCUGCCGAAAGCCAGGACAUUGGCAAUCUGUAGUGAACGAGGCACUAACCAACUCUUCCUAACGCACGAAGAACCUACAGAAUGGUUCUCAGAGUUCUUCCGUGAACUGCUCCUGCUAAAGGAGAAAUGAACUCACCCUGACCUUACACCGCAGAGCUCAACAGAGGGAUUCCUGCUACCACAUUGGGAAGAAUGUUCCAUUGUGGCAUCAUAGUUACCAUGGUGUCACCAAGCAAACAUCUGGACAUGGGGACGCAGGAGGAGCCGGGAUGAAAAGCCUGCCUGUUUCCUAAACUUGGCAGGGCUAUUCUGGAAGCCUGCCUCUCCCCAAGUCUGGCUGAGAUGGCAUCCCUUUCGCUGGAUCACAGAGUCCGGUCCAGUCGUGGCCGUGGUCUGUCUGCCUCCUCAGAACCUGCCCUGUGUCUACAUGAGUCUGUCUGACUGGAUGGAGGAAGCCCACGACUUGGGUGGGUUUGGUUUUUCCAAUCCCUGACAACAUUUCUUACACUCUCUCUGUGGUUUCCUGGAGGCUCAGCCCAGUUUUCUUUAGCUCCCACAGCUUGUGGGUCCACGUGGAGCUACCAGAAGGGCCCUGCCAGACCACCAGGCCAGAUGGAUCUGCACUCUGGCCGCUACGAACAGCUCUGGCUUCAGCACAAAUGCCAGGACUUUAGGAAAGUGUCGAGAACGUUGUGGUGAGAUGUAACUCCACGGAACCAGAGGGCUCGCAGGCUGCUGGCGCAGGUGCGUAAAUGGCACUCAUUGGACAGACAGAUGAAUGGGGAAAGGAUGGCUGGAUAGAGAGCAAAGCCUGACUAGAGAGGAGCCACUAUCUCCUUCCCCUCACGGUUUCCCUGACACCCAUCCCAUGUGUGCCUCGCCAGCCUCUAUCACCUCCAGCACCGAGCAGGGCUUGGCUUCUGCUGGGAGAAUGGAAUCGGAUUCACAAUCACUGUGCCAGGAUGAGGGAAUUACCCAAGUUUCCAGAUGGAAACAGAGUGCCUCAGGGUGGGAAAGUCACUUCCCUAAAGCCGAACACCCGGAAACCGUGGGCAGGAUUCCAACCCAGAUCCUUCCAACUCCAGGGUCAACGAUCUCCAAGUCUGCAUUUCUCAGCCUGGACCACGUGCUACCUUUAUAGGGGACGGAAGUAGCAACAGUGAUUGGGGCAAAGUCAAAGUCUGCUCUGUAAGAAUGGAGAUGCUGAGGUUAGUGCCCAAGACCCUGACUCUCUCCAGAUUCCUCUUUAAAUUUCUUCAUGAAAAGAGGUCAUGCGCAAACCACCAGAAACACUCUCUCUCCUCACAGGAAGGAUCUAGCAUAACCCACGAUAAGAAAGGCUCAGAAUCCUGCAGGGGCCCAGCAGACCUUAUAGACAGUGGGCCUCAAAUCUUCAUCCUCUCUGGGCCACUUAUUACAGACUGCCAACUUUAGGUCUGGCCGUUGCCCGGUUCCACCCAAGACCCUCUUGCUGUCUGGGAGGUUUGGAGUUUCUGAGGCCAUGGCAUCCAGCCACAGGCUGGCACCAUUCAAGGACAAAAGCUGCCCUUUUUCCAAGGAUCCCCUUGCAGAUUGCAUCGGAGGCUUCGAAGUCUGCUUUUUCUGGUAAAGAAGGCCGUGCUCAAGGCUACCGAUGCCUUUAAGAACAACUCCUGCAUGGACAGGACUCUUCAGCCUGUGCAUAGAAGGGGGUGCCACUCAAUGCCGGGACCUCCAAAAGGCCUUGGUGGUCUAUUAUUGAAGGAGAAAGCAAGCUAUAAAACGGACUGUGAGUUCAUCUCUGGCUUUGUUUUUUGUUUUUGUUUGAAGUACAUUAUGAAAAG